rnacentral:rRNA from 1 species
UACGGGGGGGGCAAGGCGUUGUUCGGAAUUACUGGGCGUAAAGGGCUCGUAGGCGGCCAACUAAGUCAGACGUGAAAUCCCUCGGCUUAACCGGGGAACUGCAUCUCGAUACUGGAUGGACUUGAGUUCGGGAGAGGGAUGCGGAAUUCCAGGUGGUAAGCGGUGAAAUGCGUAGAUAAUCUGGAGGAACACCAAUGGCGAAGGCAGCUCACUGGGACGAGUACUGACGCUGAGACGCGAAAGCGUGGGGAGCAAACAGGGAUUAAGAA